rnacentral:rRNA from 1 species
GACGAACGCUGGCGGCGUGCCUAAUACAUGCAAGUCGAGCGAAGUUUUUCUGGUGCUUGCACUAGAAAAACUUAGCGGCGAACGGGUGAGUAACACGUAAAGAACCUGCCUCAUAGACUGGGACAACUAUUGGAAACGAUAGCUAAUACCGGAUAACAGUAUUUCUCGCAUGAGAGAUAUUUAAAAGUUGGUUAUGCUAACACUAUGAGAUGGCUUUGCGGUGCAUUAGCUAGUUGGUGGGGUAAAGGCCUACCAAGGCGACGAUGCAUAGCCGACCUGAGAGGGUGAUCGGCCACACUGGGACUGAGACACGGCCCAGACUCCUACGGGAGGCAGCAGUAGGGAAUCUUCCGCAAUGGGCGAAAGCCUGACGGAGCAACGCCGCGUGAGUGAAGAAGGAUUUCGGUUCGUAAAGCUCUGUUGUUAGGGAAGAAUGGAUAUGUAGUAACUAUACAUAU